GGUUAAUAUUCCCGUACUUGGUGUUACUGCGAAGGGGGGACGGAGAAGGCUAUGUUGGCCGGGCGACGGUUGUCCCGGUUUAAGCGUGUAGGUGUGUGUUCCAGGUAAAUCCGGUUCACUUUAACACUGAGGCGUGAUGACGAGGCACUACGGUGCUGAAGCAACAAAUGCCCUGCUUCCAGGAAAAGCCUCUAAGCAUCAGGUAACAUCAAAUCGUACCCCAAACCGACACAGGUGGUCAGGUAGAGAAUACCAAGGCGCUUGAGAGAACUCGGGUGAAGGAACUAGGCAAAAUGGUGCCGUAACUUCGGGAGAAGGCACGCUGACACGUAGGUGAAGUGAUUUACUCACGGAGCUGAAGUCAGUCGAAGAUACCAGCUGGCUGCAACUGUUUAUUAAAAACACAGCACUGUGCAAACACGAAAGUGGACGUAUACGGUGUGACGCCUGCCCGGUGCCGGAAGGUUAAUUGAUGGGGUCAGCGCAAGCGAAGCUCCUGAUCGAAGCCCCGGUAAACGGCGGCCGUAACUAUAACGGUCCUAAGGUAGCGAAAUUCCUUGUCGGGUAAGUUCCGACCUGCACGAAUGGCGUAAUGAUGGCCAGGCUGUCUCCACCCGAGACUCAGUGAAAUUGAACUCGCUGUGAAGAUGCAGUGUACCCGCGGCAAGACGGAAAGACCCCGUGAACCUUUACUAUAGCUUGACACUGAACAUUGAGCCUUGAUGUGUAGGAUAGGUGGGAGGCUUUGAAGUGUGGACGCCAGUCUGCAUGGAGCCGACCUUGAAAUACCACCCUUUAAUGUUUGAUGUUCUAACGUGGACCCGUAAUCCGGGUUGCGGACAGUGUCUGGUGGGUAGUUUGACUGGGGCGGUCUCCUCCUAAAGAGUAACGGAGGAGCACGAAGGUUGGCUAAUCCUGGUCGGACAUCAGGAGGUUAGUGCAAUGGCAUAAGCCAGCUUGACUGCGAGCGUGACGGCGCGAGCAGGUGCGAAAGCAGGUCAUAGUGAUCCGGUGGUUCUGAAUGGAAGGGCCAUCGCUCAACGGAUAAAAGGUACUCCGGGGAUAACAGGCUGAUACCGCCCAAGAGUUCAUAUCGACGGCGGUGUUUGGCACCUCGAUGUCGGCUCAUCACAUCCUGGGGCUGAAGUAGGUCCCAAGGGUAUGGCUGUUCGCCAUUUAAAGUGGUACGCGAGCUGGGUUUAGAACGUCGUGAGACAGUUCGGUCCCUAUCUGCCGUGGGCGCUGGAGAACUGAGGGGGGCUGCUCCUAGUACGAGAGGACCGGAGUGGACGCAUCACUGGUGUUCGGGUUGUCAUGCCAAUGGCACU
rnacentral:rRNA from 1 species